rnacentral:misc_RNA from 1 species
UGGCUCCUGUCGAAGCUACCAUGCCCA